rnacentral:tRNA from 1 species
GGAGGGGUGCCGGAGUGGUUGAACGGGGCGGUCUCGAAAACCGUUGUGCCCUUUGCAGGGCACCGUGGGUUCGAAUCCCACCCCCUCCG